rnacentral:rRNA from 1 species
ACGUAGGGUGCGAGCGUUAAUCGGAAUUACUGGGCGUAAAGCGUGCGCAGGCGGUUUGUUAAGUCUGAUGUGAAAGCCCCGGGCUCAACCUGGGAAUGGCAUUGGAAACUGGCAAGCUUGAGUAUGGCAGAGGGGGGUGGAAUUCCGCGUGUAGCAGUGAAAUGCGUAGAGAUGCGGAGGAACACCGAUGGCGAAGGCAGCCCCCUGGGCCAAUACUGACGCUCAGGCACGAAAGCGUGGGGAGCAAACAGGAUUAGAUACCCUGGUAGUCCACGCCCUAAACGAUGCUCACUAGGUGUUGGGGAAGCGAUUCCUUGGUACCGUAGCUAACGCGUGAAGUUGACCGCCUGGGGAGUACGGCCGCAAGGUUG